CCCUUAGAUGUUCUGGGCCGCACGCGCGCUACACUGAUGCAUUCAACGAGUCUAAAACCUGCUCUGAUAGGGGUGGGUAAUCUUUUGAAUGUGCAUCGUGAUUGGGAUAGAUGAUUGCAAUUUUUCAUCUUCAACGAGGAAUGCCUAGUAAACGCAAGUCAUCAGCUUGCAUUGAUUACGUCCCUUCCCUUUGUACACACCGCCCGUCGCUCCUACCGAUUGAAUGAUCCGAUGAAUAUCAUGGAUUGAGGAUGCAAGCAGGUUCGCCUGUCUUCAUCUUCGAGAAGUGAAGUAAAUCUUAUCAUUUAGAGGAAGGAGAAGUCGUAACA
rnacentral:rRNA from 1 species